GGCUCUGUGGUGCAAUGGAUAGCACAUUGGACUUCUAAUCCAAAGGUUGUGGGUUCAAGUCCCAUCAGAGUCA
rnacentral:tRNA from 1 species